rnacentral:rRNA from 1 species
AUUGAACGCUGGCGGCAGGCCUAACACAUGCAAGUCGAGCGGAUGAAGGGAGCUUGCUCCUGGAUUCAGCGGCGGACGGGUGAGUAAUGCCUAGGAAUCUGCCUGGAAGUGGGGGAUAACGUCCGGAAACGGGCGCUAAUACCGCAUACGUCCUGAGAGAGAAAGUGGGGGAUCUUCGGACCUCACGCUAUCAGAUGAGCCUAGGUCGGAUUAGCUAGUUGGUGGGGUAAAGGCCUACCAAGGCGACGAUCCGUAACUGGUCUGAGAGGAUGAUCAGUCACACUGGAACUGAGACACGGUCCAGACUCCUACGGGAGGCAGCAGUGGGGAAUAUUGGACAAUGGGCGAAAGCCUGAUCCAGCCAUGCCGCGUGUGUGAAGAAGGUCUUCGGAUUGUAAAGCACUUUAAGUUGGGAGGAAGGGCAGUAAGUUAAUACCUUGCUGUUUUGACGUUACCAACAGAAUAAGCACCGGCUAACUUCGUG